rnacentral:rRNA from 1 species
GAUGAACGCUGGCGGCGUGCCUAAUACAUGCAAGUCGAGCGAACGGACGAGAAGCUUGCUUCUCUGAUGUUAGCGGCGGACGGGUGAGUAACACGUGGAUAACCUACCUAUAAGACUGGGAUAACUUCGGGAAACCGGAGCUAAUACCGGCUGAUAUUUUGAACCGCAUGGUUCAAAAGUGACAGACGGUCUUGCUGUCACUUAUAGAUGGAUCCGCGCUGCAUUAGCUAGUUGGUAAGGUAACGGCUUACCAAGGCAACGAUGCAUAGCCGACCUGAGAGGGUGAUCGGCCACACUGGAACUGAGACACGGUCCAGACUCCUACGGGAGGCAGCAGUAGGGAAUCUUCCGCAAUGGGCGAAAGCCUGACGGAGCAACGCCGCGUGAGUGAUGAAGGUCUUCGGAUCGUAAAACUCUGUUAUUAGGGAAGAACAUAUGUGUAAGUAACUGUGCACAUCUUGACGGUACCUAAUCAGAAAGCCACGGCUAACUACGUG